UGAGUAACACGUGGGCAAUCUGCCCUGCACUUCGGGAUAAGCCUGGGAAACUGGGUCUAAUACCGGAUAGGACCUUUAGGCGCAUGCCUUUUGGUGGAAAGCUUUUGCGGUGUGGGAUGGGCCCGCGGCCUAUCAGCUUGUUGGUGGGGUGAUGGCCUACCAAGGCGACGACGGGUAGCCGGCCUGAGAGGGUGUCCGGCCACACUGGGACUGAGAUACGGCCCAGACUCCUACGGGAGGCAGCAGUGGGGAAUAUUGCACAAUGGGCGCAAGCCUGAUGCAGCGACGCCGCGUGGGGGAUGACGGCCUUCGGGUUGUAAACCUCUUUCACCAUCGACGAAGGUCCGGGUUUUCUCGGAUUGACGGUAGGUGGAGAAGAAGCACCGGCCAACUACGUGCCAGCAGCCGCGGUAAUACGUAGGGUGCGAGCGUUGUCCGGAAUUACUGGGCGUAAAGAGCUCGUAGGUGGUUUGUCGCGUUGUUCGUGAAAUCUCACGGCUUAACUGUGAGCGUGCGGGCGAUACGGGCAGACUAGAGUACUGCAGGGGAGACUGGAAUUCCUGGUGUAGCGGUGGAAUGCGCAGAUAUCAGGAGGAACACCGGUGGCGAAGGCGGGUCUCUGGGCAGUAACUGACGCUGAGGAGCGAAAGCGUGGGGAGCGAACAGGAUUAGAUACCCUGGUAGUCCACGCCGUAAACGGUGGGUACUAGGUGUGGGUUUCCUUCCUUGGGAUCCGUGCCGUAGCUAACGCAUUAAGUACCCCGCCUGGGGGAGUACGGGCCGCAAGGCUAAAACUCAAAGGAAUUGACGGGGGGCCCGCACAA
rnacentral:rRNA from 1 species